rnacentral:misc_RNA from 1 species
GCCCAUUUGAACAUAUACAUUAAUGAAACACCAGAGAUCCAUUUUUGCGCAAUUCUCUCAUUCCACUGAGAUCCAUUUUUGGAUAUAUGCUGGAAGCCUUGGGAUUCAACUUGAAAUCCAACGAAAAUAUUACAACUUAUCUUAUCCCUAACAAAAUAUAAAAACUACACAUUACGCCAAUAUCUCCCCCACAUUCACUUGUGACUUGUGAGCUCGAGGUCUCUCUAUACACAAAAUAAGAGGCAUCUCACCAAUUUUUAUUUACGAUAUGCACCUCAUGGAAUACAUACACACAGGAGAAUCCAUUGUGGGUGCACCCGCACCGUACACUCUAGGAUGAUCACUUUCCAAUCCAUAAUCCAUCAUCGGACGGUACUCCAAAUCCUCAUCAUGAUCAUGAACAAAUUCUGGAAUUUCUACCUCAUUCCUCCUCAUGUGGUCCCACAGAUAGUCAAUCCUGUUUAUAUACCUCAGCUUCCCGUACAGCCCGCCGCUGAAGAGGAGACGGCCAAACGUUGCUAGGAACAGCCUGGCUUGUAAGCCUGGAUGGAGAAAGUAAACGGACUGGAUAUUAUCCUUGACGUUGAUAGGUAUCGCGUCGUAGACAGAUCGUAAGGCUGAGAUUCCAGGAAAAUUCUCACUUCUUUGAACCCCGGUGUGAACAUACAACACAGAAAACGGCUUCUUUCCUAGGCGAGGAUAGAUCUUUUCCUCCAAGUAACUCUUAAGCACAUCCACACUCAGAAGUCGCGCAGGGAAGAAUUUGCCUAUAAUGCGAAGGACCUUGCGGCCAUGUUUGUCUCGUCCAUGGAUCUUGAAGAUCCCGAGCUUCUCAAUGAGUUGUUCUUGGUCGAGCUGCGAAACGUGAGUGCACAUGUUGUUCGUUUUUCUUCAAUUUGGCUAAAGUUUGGGCUAAGGAAGCAAAAACGGCAAAGUGACGAGAGAUAGAGAGGGAGAGAGAG